UACGUAGGGGCCUAGCGUUGUCCGGAAUUAUUGGGCGUAAAGAGCUCGUAGGCGGUUUGUCGCGUCUGCCGUGAAAGUCCGGGGCUCAACUCCGGAUCUGCGGUGGGUACGGGCAGACUAGAGUGAUGUAGGGGAGACUGGAAUUCCUGGUGUAGCGGUGAAAUGCGCAGAUAUCAGGAGGAACACCGAUGGCGAAGGCAGGUCUCUGGGCAUUAACUGACGCUGAGGAGCGAAAGCAUGGGGAGCGAACAGG
rnacentral:rRNA from 1 species